UACGUAGGGUGCGAGCGUUGUCCGGAAUUAUUGGGCGUGAAAGAGCUCGUAGGCGGUGUGUCGCGUCGGCCGUGAAACCUGGGGACUUAACUCUGGGCGUGCGGUCGAUACGGGCAUCACUAGAGUUCGGCAGGGGAGGACUGGAAUUCCUGGUCGUAGCGGUGAAAUGCGCAGAUAUCAGGAGGAACACCGGUGGCGAAGGCGGGUCUCUGGGCCGAUACUGACGCUGAGGAGCGAAAGCCAUGGGUAGCGAACAGG
rnacentral:rRNA from 1 species